rnacentral:rRNA from 1 species
AAUGGCCUAACGGCUGAACUGGCAACUUGGAAAAGUGAAAAGUCUUAAUCUUAAUAGAUUGAAUUGUCAAAGAAUGAAGCUUUGUUUAUAUAUUGAUAAUGACAAUAUAUAUAUUAUGUCUUGACCAAUUACGUGCCAGCAGUCGCGGUAAUACGUAAGAGACUAGUGUUAUUCAUCAGAAUUAGGUUUAAAGGGUACCUAGACGGUCAAAAUAGCAACAAAAAAUUGUAACUACUUGACUAGAGUUUUAUGUAAGAAGGCAGUAUCUGCGGAGGAGAGAUCAAAUUUUAUGAUACCAAAGAGACUGGUAAAGGUGAAGACAGCCUUUAUUGUUAGAACUGACGUUGAGGGACGAAGGCACAGGUCACGAACAGGAUUAGAUACCCUAGUAGUCUUUGCAGUAAAUUAUGAAUGCCAUAAAUUAGAUAAAAAAGUAAAAUUUGUGCAGCUUAGGGCUAGCGCCACACUACUUAUAUUUAAAAAUUUAGUUUAUAAAUGAAAGUGUAAGCAUUCCACCUCAAGAGUAAUGUGGCAACGCAGGAACUGAAAUCAAUAGACCGUUUCUAACAUCAGUAGUGAAGUAUGUUGUUUAAUUCGAUGAUCCACGAAAAACCUUACCGCGGUUUGUAUAUUUAUACAGGUGUUGCACGGCUGUUUUCAGUUAAUGUUGUGAAACCAUGGUUUCCACGGAAUUCACGUCAUCCUUGACUUUA